rnacentral:lncRNA from 1 species
AACAACUCUUUAGAGAGGAUGAGUGUCUAAACUGGAUAAAGUGUGUGUCAAUAGAUUUAUAUGAAUUUAUAUGCAUUCAUUGUUUUUAUUUGUAUUUUUCUUCUCUUCAUGGUCUUCUCUUCAUGGUCUUCAUGGAUUGAUGGCAAAAAUCCAGACAGUGCCUUCAGUCAUUUUAGAAACCUAUCGACUGUGAUGUUGUGUUUCCUUGGAUUGGUCCUAUCUUACUUUGUAGCACACUGAAAGUGACCAUUAGCCCUCAGAAUGGAUAUUUAUUGCUGUGACACUGAUGCUCACUACUUAGUUACCUCAUCUAGCAUUCUCACUGCAUAGCUGUUAGGGAAACUUCUCCGCUUUUGAGGGAAGCAACUACUGAACAAAUGAGAUGUAAAGAUUAGUCUUUCUAAUUUUGAUUUGACAUGCAAGUAAUGAUCCAUUUAAUUGUCUAAUCUUUCAGUUAAUAAAAUCAGCUUAAAGAAGAAUGUACUAUUCAAGCCUCUUGCGACUACUUAAAAAUAUCAAUCCAUCACAACUUUACCUUAGAGCUCCUUUUUGAUAUAAACAUUUAACUGCUUAAUAAAUCUGAUAGUUUACUCUCCAGUCAGAAGUGAGCAUCCCUAUGUCCUAGAGCAGAGGCCUUGGAAGUGGGGACUUUUGAGGGAACAGGGCUCUUGUUUGUCAUUUAGAGUACACUUGAUGAAGGGAGCAAUGAAAGACGAUGUAUCUUCUUCAUUAUCUUAGCCUGGAAUGUUACCAUGACAACAGCAUCCUUCAGCUUAUUGCUGUACACAACAGGAAUCUCUUAUUAUUGCUGUUAUUGUAUUUGUUACAAAUAAGUAACACAAAAACAAUUUCGCCUCAGGUCUUGCAGUCUACACUAACGAGCUAAUUAAUGGAAUCAGGUAUAUUAGAUAAAGCAGACAAACAAAAUGUGCAAUUAUCGCCAGUUAGUAGCUGAGUUACUCACUUACUCGAUCAAUUGUUUUGUUUUUAUGGCUGUCCAUAUGAACUGCUUUUUAAUUGUUCAAUAUUUUUUGUAUUAAGAUUGUUGUGCAACAUUUCUAUUUUUAAUUUGAACUAUUUUUCAUCUUAAUUGUCCACUGUUUAUGAACUUAUUAAAACAAAUGAUCAGUUGGAUAUA